rnacentral:rRNA from 1 species
AUCGUCAACCAGUCCCGUGAGCGAAAGGCGAAAAUUACCCCGUCUAGGGGUUUGAAAAAGAACCUUAAACCGUGUACGUACAAGCAGUUGUAGCAGAGGUUUUCCUGUGUGACUGCUUACCUUUUGUAUAAUGGGUCAGCGACUUAUAUUCUGUAGCAAGGUUAACCGAAUAGGGGAGCCGGAGGGAAACCGAGUCUUAAUUGGGCGUUAAGUUGCAGGGUAUAGACCCGAAACCCGGUGAUCUAGCCAUGGGCAGGUUGAAGGUUGGGUAACACUAACUGGAGGACCGAACCGACUAAUGUUGAAAAAUUAGCGGAUGACCUGUGGCUGGGGGUGAAAGGCCAAUCAAACCGGGAGAUAGCUGGUUCUCCCCGAAAGCUAUUUAGGUAGCGCCUCGUGAAUUCAUCUCCGGGGGUAGAGCACUGUUUCGGCUAGGGGGCCAUCCCGGCUUACCAACCCGAUGCAAACUGCGAAUACCGGAGAAUGUUAUCACGGGAGACACACGGCGGGUGCUAACGUCCGUCGUGAAGAGGGAAACAACCCAGACCGCCAGCUAAGGUCCCAAAGUCAUGGUUAAGUGGGAAACGAUGUGGGAAGGCCCAGACAGCCAGGAUGUUGGCUUAGAAGCAGCCAUCAUUUAAAGAAAGCGUAAUAGCUCACUGGUCGAGUCGGCCUGCGCGGAAGAUGUAACGGGGCUAAACCAUGCACCGAAGCUGCGGCAGCGACGCUUAUGCGUUGUUGGGUAGGGGAGCGUUCUGUAAGCCUGUGAAGGUGGCCUGUGAGGGUUGCUGGAGGUAUCAGAAGUGCGAAUG